rnacentral:lncRNA from 1 species
UUUUCUAUCCUUGGCGCAUAGGGCCCUUUUGGGCUGUCCCACCAGCCCACCAAGGGCUGGUGCGCCACCCCUAGGGCCUAUGGGCUUCCCCGGGUGGGUUCGCCCCUCCCGGUGAACAUCCAGAACCCAUUCGUCACUCCCGGUACAUUCCCGGUAAUGCCCGAAAACCUUCCGGUAACCAAAUGAGGUCAUCCUAUAUAUCAAUCUUCGUCUGCGUACCAUUCCGAAAACCCUCGUCACGUCCAUGAUCACAUUCGGGA